AGAUUGAACGCUGGCGGCAGGCCUAACACAUGCAAGUCGAGCGGUAGAGAGGUGCUUGCAUCUCUUGAGAGCGGCGGACGGGUGAGUAAUGCCUAGGAAUCUGCCUAGUGGUGGGGGAUAACGUUCGGAAACGGACGCUAAUACCGCAUACGUCCUACGGGAGAAAGCGGGGGACCUUCGGGCCUCGCGCCAUUAGAUGAGCCUAGGUCGGAUUAGCUAGUUGGUGAGGUAAUGGCUCACCAAGGCGACGAUCCGUAACUGGUCUGAGAGGAUGAUCAGUCACACUGGAACUGAGACACGGUCCAGACUCCUACGGGAGCAGCAGUGGGAAUAUGGACAAUGGGCAAAGCCUGAUCCAGCCAUGCCGCGUGUGUGAAGAAGGCCUUCGGUUGUAAACGUGCUUUUGUACGGAACGAAACGGUCCUAGGUUAAUACCGUGGGACUAAGUGACGUACCGUAAGAAUAAGACGACCGCUAACUACGUACCAG
rnacentral:rRNA from 1 species